AUGAAGGAUGCUGUUGUGAGCCAUGCCACCCCAUCAGCAAGCGUUGAAGUGGACGCUCCCGAGACGAACCUAAGCAAGGAAGAUUCCCGCUCAUCUGACACUGAUUCCAAGCGCGUGCGUGGUGGCACUCCUGUGUCCACGACAGAAGCGGCUGAGGCGGCAGUUCACAAGGAUAUGCCAUCUACAGGUGAGAGUCCUGGCACAACAGCUCCAGCUCUUGUCGGUGCAGAUACUGCUAAGGCGACUGUUUCACGUGCUGGUCUUCCGCCUAGGCGUCGUAGCCCCCGCAAGCAACCAACAGACAUACCCAACGCACCGGUUGUAGCUAGGAGCAGGAGAGACGAGUCUGGUUAUGUUCCUGCGUCCACAUUGUUCCCGCCACCUGCCAAAAACAAUGUGAUGAAGAAACCGGAAGACCGGAGCACAACUGAUGUAGGUGUCAAGCCGGGCACGAGUGACGCAGGUGAAAAACCGGAGCAGACUACGCCUUUACCCGCAGUGGAAAUCCCCAGCAUAAAUCUGCGCACUUUGAGGCUCCCAGUCAAUGUCGGUGUCCCCUACAGCCCAAACAAGAAGAUUGUCAUGAAAGCUGCGGCUAAUACCGCUGACAACACGCCCCGCCCUGCAAAUAAGGCCGAUCAUUCUGUAGCGGCCGAUUCAGAUAUGUUUGUCGAUCUUUCACCCUUGGAUUCUGCCCCGCAAGUCGUUCGUGGUCCGGCCAGUAGGAAUGAGAGGCACCCAAUGGCCUUUACCCCAUCGAGCUUCAGCCUUGGCAUCAGUCAAGAUCAACCGGUGGUGCAAGAUCCUAUGCCAGUUGCCUUUGCUUUCCCAGGAGGCACGCCCGCAAUGAUGGCGCAGCCAAUGGUCGAGGGCAGGAAGGCUGUCAAGUUCGCAGAGCCGAUUGUGCAAGGUAUCCUAACCCACUUUUUUUAUCAUUGCAGCCACCCCUGA
rnacentral:rRNA from 1 species